AUGGGUGGCAGAAGAAGUAAAGAAGUGGGUGAAAUAAAACCAGCAAGUGGGUCCAAAGGAAUUGCAGAAGAACAUCAAAGACAAGUUCAAGAUAGAUUUACCGUCCAGCAGGGAACAUACAACAUAGAUCCAGCGUUCGGAGAGAGUUUCGAUGAAGGCUUCGAUGAAAAUGUUGGUCAGCAGCCGGUUGCCUCAACAGAUGAUGAAAAUGAUGGUCAACAACCGGUUGCAUCAGAUGAGGAUUUUGACGAGGUUCCAAAUGAUGAUGGUCAACAGCCGCAUGAUUUUGAUGAUGAUCCAAAAUAUCCUCCAAAUGAUGAUUCAAGUGAGGCUCCAAAUGGUGAUCAUGGUGAUCCAAGUGAGGCUCCAAAUGGUGAUCCAAGUGAGGCUCCAAAUGGUGACCAACCUUCUGUUGUUGUGAGUUCUGCUAGCUCUGUGGUAGGUUUGAAGAAGACGCGCAAGGUACCGACAUCCAAGAGGAGAAGAUAA
rnacentral:rRNA from 1 species